GUGGGAAUCUACCUGGCUCUACGGAACAACUCAGGGAAACUUGAGCCAAUACCGUAUACGCCCUUCGGGGGAAAGAUUUAUCGGAGUUGGAUGAGCCCGCGUCUGAUUAGCUAGUUGGUGGGGUAAUGGCCUACCAAGGCGACGAUCAGUAGCUGGUCUGAGAGGAUGAUCAGCCACACUGGGACUGAGACACGGCCCAGACUCCUACGGGAGGCAGCAGUGGGGAAUAUUGGACAAUGGGCGCAAGCCUGAUCCAGCCAUGCCGCGUGAGUGAUGAAGGCCCUAGGGUUGUAAAGCUCUUUCACCGGUGAAGAUAAUGACGGUAGCCGGAGAAGAAGCCCCGGCUAACUUCGUGCCAGCAGCCGCGGUAAUACGAAGGGGGCUAGCGUUGUUCGGAAUUACUGGGCGUAAAGCGCGCGUAGGCGGAUUGGUCAGUUAGGGGUGAAAUCCCAGGGCUCAACCCUGGAACUGCCUCUAAUACUUCCAGUCUAGAGUUCGAGAGAGGUGAGUGGAAUUCCGAGUGUAGAGGUGAAAUUCGUAGAUAUUCGGAGGAACACCAGUG
rnacentral:rRNA from 1 species